GUUGACAAUGUGGAGGAUAUGAUGCCAGCAGCCACUGUGAUAGAGAGCAGCAGAGAUGUUACUGGAUGUUCCCGUGAAAUAAAACCACAGACAAGGUCUGUUUGAUUUGGAGAGGACGAGACCUCUGGAUAAUUCAACUCCUGGUUAAAGCCUCCUGAACGCUGGAUCUUAAGUUAUGCUAAGAAAGGAGGAGAAUUUGGUUCCCGAUAGAAUUUCCUGA